CACGACUUGUAAUUGCGAUGGGGGGACGGAGAAGGCUAGGUGGGCCAGGCGACGGUUGUCCUGGUGAAAGUGCGUAGGUGGUGUUUCUAGGCAAAUCCGGAGACACAACACUGAGACACGAGACGAAGCCACUACGGUGGUGAAGCCAUUGAUGCCCUGCUUCCAGGAAAAGCCUCUAAGCUUCAGAUUACAAGUCAUCGUACCCCAAACCGACACAGGUGGUCGGGUAGAGAAUACCAAGGCGCUUGAGAGAACUCGGGUGAAGGAA
rnacentral:rRNA from 1 species